CACCAAAGCAGCUCCCUUCCUAGGCAUGCUUUCCCUGAUGACUUCUUCAUCUUGUUACAAGAACUUUUUCCCUAGCAUACUUUUUGGGGGUGGCUGGUCCUUUAAAUUUUUGCAGAGCCAAGCAGCUGCAGUUCUAAAGUCAUUUUGUAACCAGCAGCUGCUGAAUUUCUUUUCCAGCUGGUGAGUAUCUGUUCUGUCCUUUCCCUCCUCCCUCUCCCCCUUACUUUUUUUUUAUUGGUAAAGAGGAAGGUAGAUGAAAAACAGCAGUAUGGCUGAACCAAAGCAUUUAAAAAUCAUGAGAUUUUAAGUAGUAAUAAUCAUUGUUUUUUUUUAUCUUCUGCUCUUGGAGGCUUUAGUGUUCAUAUUUUCAAGCGUUUCUCCACAACUGCAAGAGCUAGAAAUAAAUCUGUGUGCUCUGAAAUUAAAUAGGAAACAGCUGGAAAGCAAGUUUUAAUUCUGAUUUUGAAGAAAAUCCCUCAGGGGUGUAAACUGUUUUACAGGGAUGUAAAGAAGGGUAUAAACACAGACAAUUUCAGAGGAAGCCUUUGGUGGAACCAGCAGUGGAACCCAAGCACCCUGACUCUCAGUCCACUGCUCCAAACACCAAAAAACACUCAAGAAAAUGUCACCUGGAUACAAAAAGAGAGAAAGCAAAUCUUUUUCAACCCUAUCACUGUGAGCCCUAGUGGCUGUCCUGAGCCAGUGGAGAACUUCAAUUUUUACCAAAGAAACAGAAUACAAGCUAAGUACAAACCUGUCUUCAGCCUGUGUUUUAAAAAGAUCUGCUUAAUAAAAAUCUCUUUACCUUCACAGAAUAUAUCAUCUGCUUCUCCAAGAAUAGUCAGAUCUUCCUCUAGGUGCUGCAUCGUGGCCACAGCUCUGCCAGAGUGAUUGGCCACAAGAGCUGCCAGCAUUGUCACUUCUCCCCACAUGGUGAGGAGACCAAAGAUGGCUCCAAGAGGCGCUCGAUGCAUGUUGUGAGGAAUUUGGAGUAAUAGCAUUGCAAUGCUGAUAUAUUGGAAUCCAGGAGCAAAUGAGCCGAUCUUGGCCAUGCACCAGUUUUUAAAUGGGGAAGGGGCAUCUAGUCAUCUUGACCCCAAAGCAGGGGAGGGCACACAGGUCACUCAUGGAUGCCCACAAAGCAGUGUGGGGUAACCGUUGGAGGACUAUCAAGGAAUUAAAAGGCAUCAAAAGCUGUUUUCUUUCCAGAAAAUAUCUGUCACCCGAAUGAGCACUAACUAGCCUGGUGAUGAAUGAUAAUGACUCAACUUCCACUUCAACACACAAAGAAAAGUCUUUUUGAUUCGUUCCCAUUUGCCACACUGUCUUCCCCUAAAUGACAGGAUCAUGUACAACAUCAUCACUGGCUUGUGAAGUUUCUCGCAGAAACCUGUCUCAAAAGGAAAAUCAGACCUCUUUAUUCAAGAUGAAAUGCUUUAAUGUGUGAAAAUGAUCUAUAUCGGAGUGGUUCUGCUCUAUCUCCUGUUCUCCCUGCCCCCCUCUUUGGCUAUUUUGUAUUUGGGAUUUUUCUAUCAGCUUGCAGACCAAUUUAUUUGUCUUUUUCUGAUCUCAGGCAUCUAAGCGAAAACACCUGUCCCCUCCCUUCCUUUUGAAGCAGCAACUUUUCUCGUUCCCUACUCUCAAGCAGCAUUUUAUAUCUUUCUCUUUAAUAUGUUUAGAAACUUUGUUACUUUUCUUGUCACCUGUUGGUUAACUCAGCGCACUUCCCUCCCGCCAGCAAUUACUCAUUUUUCUUUGACAUAACCACAUCUGAUGCCUGUUAUCACAGAAAGUUACCACCCAUCCUCAAAUAGCCUGUAAACAAAGAGUGAAGGGUGACAACUGAAGUGUUGAAAACAAGGGUGGGGAGCGUGGAUCAGAGAAGUAAUAGAAAGCAGUUUAUAGAAAAGCUCUCCUUUAGCAACCUUAACUCUCUGUUUGCUUUUGUUUCUCAUUUCCUCUGCAACCUAUUGAAAAAGAUACCUGUCACAUCAGUCUCUGUGAGAUGUUAUAAUAUUGCCACAAUAGCUGCUGAGCAUUCAUUUCAGUAUGUAAUUCAAAACUCCCGUGUGACCAAUAUUUUGAGUGUCAUAUCAACAGUUAGAACUCUCAGAUCCAGAAAACUUCUAAGUACUUGACCCUGCUUUAAUUGAAAUCAAUGGGAAAACUCCCAUUUGCUAUGACUGCAAUGGGAAGACGCACCAUGUUAGAAAGGGUGCUAGAGCAAACAUGAUGUUAGAAAUGACAGGAUCUCAUGUAGAUGGGGCCCAGUUGUGUUUAAAAAUGUCUUAGCUGAUCAUAGUUAAUCAGAUUCCACCCAGAAAAAAAAUCAAGUUUAGUAUGAUGUUAGUUAAUGUUUUCCAAUAUCUGGUUUCCCAGUGUAGACAAGGCCACGUGAUUCCAGUGGUGGAGGAUUGGGCUCUCCAGCUGUGAGCCUGGUCUUGUUGGGGGAAGUUCCAGCCUCUUUUCAGAGAAGCCACGUGCCAAGCCAGGGAAAAUAUUUCACCUUGAGAAACAACUGCCCUACAGCCACAGAGUGUCUGCACAAGAUAAGAAACCAGCUGAAACGGACCAAGGAAGAUAUGUUCCAGAUUGUGCUGCAACAGUCAGAGGCUGAAAACACUGAACGCAAGAAGUGGAGGGAAAGUGAAAAGCAGAAAAGAGAAGAGAAGGAUUCUUACAACAGGGAUACCACAGAGAGGCUGAUUAAAGUUAUGGAUUGUCAAACCGACAUCUUCAGACUCUCAGAACAUUGCAGACUGAGCAGAUGCAUACCCACCUUCCCCUUCACUGUGAACUCUUUCCCAUGCACUCCCCAAACUCCCCCUGUGCAUUCCUUUCCACCUUCUGGCGCUUUGUGCUUUCCUCUACACUCCCACCCCCGGAGACAGCUGUUCCAAUGAAAGCAGGACCUAUACUCAACUAUGAAAAUCAUCCCCCUCCCAUUCCCCCCCCCAGCUGUGUAGAUGGCUAUGUAUGUCUGUGUCUUGGUGUGGUUUGUCUGUCAGUAAAAGCAGUGUUUUUAUUAAUACACACUCUUUAUUUUCUCACAAGGGAUGAUACCUCCUGGCACCAUGCAAAUCAGCACUUUUAUUAAUCCUGCAUUGAAUUCUAGGCCUUAACAAUCACAGUUGCUUCAUAGGCUACCAGAUUUAAGUAAUCAUUACAGUCCCAAGCAUAGCAACAAUCAUUACUGGCUUUCUUGUUGGAAGUCUUGUCUCAAGGCAUCCCUGAUUCUUACUGCCCCACGUUGCGCCACUCUAAUAGCCCUGGUAUCUGGCUGCUCAAAAUCAGCAGCCAGGCAUUCUACCUCAGCAAUCCACCCUUGAGAAAACCAUUCGCCCUUCCUUUCACAAAUAUUAUGCAGUGUACAACACGCGACUGUAACCAUUGGAAUAUUUUCCUUGCUCAGGUCUAGCCUGCCAUAUAGGCAUCGCCAGUGCGCCUUUAAACAGCCAAAUGCACAUUCAACAGUCAUUCUGCACCUACUCAGCCUGUUGCUGAACCGCUCCUUACUGCCAUCUAGGUUUCCCGUGUACGGCUUCAUGAGCCAUGGCAUUAAGGGGUAUGCUGGGUCUCCCAAGAUCACUAUGGGCAUUUCUACUUUCCCUAUGGUGAUCUUCUGGUCUGGAAAAAAAGUCCCUGCUUGUAGCUUUCUGUACAGACCAGUGUUCCUUAAGAUACAUACGUCAUGCACUUUUCCAGACCACCCCAUGUUAAUGUCAGUGAAUUGCCCACGGUGAUUCACAAGUGCCUGCAAAACAAUAGAGAAGUACCCCUUCUGAUUGAUGUACUUGGUUGCAAGGUGAUCCAGUGCCAGAAUUGGAAUAUGUGUCCUAUCUAUCACCUCACCACAGUUAGGGAAACCCAUAUCUGCAAAACCAUCCACAGUGUCACUCACAUUGCCAAGAGUCAUGGUCUUUCACAGCAGGAUGUGAUUAAUGGCCUUGCACACUUGUGUUAACACAGCACCAAUGAUUGACGUCCCCACUCCAAACUGGUUCAUGACUGACUGGUAGCAGUCUGGAGUUGCUAGCUUCCACACUGCGAUUGCCAUGCGCUUCUCCACCGAGAGGGCAGCUCUCAUUUGGAAGGCCUUGUGCCGCAGGACUGGGGCAAGCUCUGCACACAGUUCUAUGAAGGUGGCUUUCCACAUCUGAAAGUUCCGCAGCCACUUCUCAUCAUCCCAGACUUCUAUAACUAUCCAAUCCCACCAGUCUGUGCUAGUUUCCCGAUCCCAAAAUCGACGUUCCACAGCAUUCAGCUUCUCUGUGAAUGCCAAAAGCAAUCUAAUGUUGCUGCUGUCCAUGUCGGACACCAUGUCAGGCAACUGUGACUGCCGUUGCCUUUGUAACUUCUAGAAUAAUUCCACUGCCACUCACGAUGUGCUAGUGAGAGCUAACAGAACAGUGGAGAGCAGUGCGGGGUCCAUUCCUGGAGAUAGAUAUGGCGGGGAAAGCAUUAAGCGACGUUGAAAAAUGCCGCAAACUGAAGAUGGAAGCACAUUGAAUGCUGGGACAGAAAGCAGUGCAUCAUGGGGCAUUGAGCCUGGACCCAUAAUGCACCGCAAUCCCCUCCGCCUUCCCACAAGACCUAGCAGUAGAGGGGGGAAGUAGAAGAGGGAGAGCUGCAAUGUGGGAUAGCUACCCAUAGUGCACUGCUUUCAUUGGCAAUGCAAGUGCCACAAGUGUGGUCACGCAAUGACACCAGUGGAAGAUAGUGUGGCCAUGCAACAGUGCUUUUAAUUAACGCGCUUUAAUGAAAGUGGUAUAACUUUUGGUGCAAAAACUUGCCAGUCAGACUUUUACUUUGUUGUGCUUUAUGUAUCUGAAGGUUAGACUUUUAAGGAGUGAAAUAUGUACAAUAUUACAUAAAAUGUUUAUAUGUAUUUUAUAAAUAAUGGGAUAAAUUCAGUGAAGCUACAUGGAAGAUAUAAACUAUCUCUUCCUGAGCCCCCUGGACUCUCUGUGCCCCAGUGGAGCAAUUUUGCUGCUGCCACACUCUAGGGUUUUCCUCAGGUGCUGGAGGCCAGGAGAGGUAACUCCAUUUUCUGGCUAAGGCUUCACAGAAGCCUUGCUAGCAGAAGCUACCGAAGGGAGUGUUAAUUUCUCUAAGUCCUACUUUGGCCAGAGCUGUGAACUCUGAGCUGGACUGGCCCAUACAAACCCCUUGGUGGACAGAAAGAUGCAGACACUUUCAUGCACUGCAACUCCUCCCCAUCAGACUUUCCAGGGUCUAUACUGACAGAAGCCAGCACAAACCUAAGCUCAACGUGCACCUGUUUUGUAGGAAGACCUUAAAAAGAGAGAAGGAAAUUUUUUAGUUUUGAGAUUUUUGAACUCCACUUGAUUUUAAGAGGGUUAUAAAUGUACUUCCCACCUCAAGAUGCAUCUGAGCUGCAGAGUUAGAAUUAGGAUCCAAACUUUCCCAAAUACUGGAUAUUCAAAUCCAGGGGUUUCAUUCAGGCUUCUUUCUCUUCUCAGCUUUUUCACACUGUAGUAUGAGACUAGCAGAUAACCAUCUCAUCCUGAAGUGUACAUGUAAUCCCCCCUGCUUCUCCCCAUUGUUUUUCCUUGUCUAUUUACCCCUCCUUGUACCUUUUCCUGCCCCUUCUCUGGUUCUUUCAAAUACAAUAUGAAUGGUGAAUGGGUUUUUCAAGCAUAAAGUAUUAUAUGAUAGGGAAUAUUACAUUUAUACUUUCACUUUCCGGCAAUGCUUUGAGAGUCCUUACAAAAAUGCCAUUGUCCUUGUAUUUGCCACUUUUUGGUACACUUGAUGCCACUAUAGAUUGAGUUCUCUGAAUAAUUGCAACAGCAGAGUUUACUUCUCUUUUCUGAAACCAAUAGGAUAAGAGGGCACAUGGGAACGGAACCUGUGGUAAAGGAAACCUUACCACAAGGCAUCCCCACCCUGUUUGACUUCCCCCUGAUAUAAUGCUACAGAACGUGUGCAGGAACUGUAUGUACCCUAGGGUCAUAGUAUCUCUCCUGUAGAGAUUGCUUCACUGUCAAUCCUAUGGCCUAGCAUAGAAAAAUAGAUUUUUAAACAAUGUAACUCUAUUUUGCAAUGUAAUGAAGCAAUGGAAGAUUCGGAAACAGUGUGAUUAACACAG